UUUAACGGCUGUCGACAGGGUCUUAUAUAUAAAAAGAAAAAAAAAGCAAACCUAACCUAAUUCCUCUCUGCGGCUCUCUCUCUCUCUGCCGCUCCCUCUCCGCUCGCUUUCUCUCCCUCCCUCUCUCUGCCGCUCCCUCUAUCUGCCUCUCCCUCUCUCUACCUCUCCUUCUCCAUCUCCAUCUCUGGCCGUCUCCCUCUCGCGCGCUCUCCCUCUCCCUCUCCCUCUCCGUUUCCCUCUUCGCUCGCUCUCUCACUCUCCCACUCCCUCUCCCUCUCACUCUCUUUAUCCCUAUCUCUCUCACUCUCAAAACCCUAGUCCUCUCUCUCUCCCUAUCUCCUCGGCCCUCUGCUGCAACAUCAGGUAUCUCUCUCUCCGCUCGAUCUACCGCACAUCAAGGAGCAUUCUGCUACAACAUCGGGAGAGAAAGGGCCGUGCAUCAGCACCUUGCUGGUUUAUCACUGCAGAGGAGCUUGACUCUCUGUCAUCUUCAACUUCUACAUCAGCAUGUUUCAACUAAGUAGAUACAGCCAAAGCUGCCCAACCAAUCCCAGGUUUCAAUUUUUCUGCAUUGCAGCUAUAUGAGAGGGAGGCUCACACUGGACAAGGUGAACGUUGCUGUCAAUGACAUGGCAACAUAUGCAGAUGCUAAUGCCUAGCUUAUUGUAGCCCCCAAAAAGAAGAUCUAUUUUAAGGAUGUCUCCUGUUCUAAACCAGAACUUAAGCUGCAAAGCUCAGCAGGUUCGCCAAUUAUUGAUCCCCAUCUCUCUAAAGAUGGAAGUAUGCUCGCUUACAUAAGAGAUGAUGAGCUGCAUGUUUUGAAUUUGUCAUAUGGCGAGCCUAAAUAGUUAACAUUUGGUGCUAGAGGAAAUGCAAAGGUUAUUGAGCUUCCAAUCAAGCACCCUGAAUUGUUUGAGAGUUUUGGAAUAGCUCAGCCAAAGGUAUUUCUGACUGUGCCGCCGUACGAUGCCUUUACUCUUUUCAUGUGUCUUCCUUUUCACCAGUCAAAGGUAUUUUACUCCUCAACAAUGUGAAAAAGGAGAGCUGCUUUUUUCCAGUUCCUCAGGCAGAAGAGUGCAUUCUCUAAGUGGUGGAGAGGGCCAAUGUGCUAGUAAUUUAUCUGUCUACAGUUGCAGCUGAAAGUGAAACUGAUCUUCUAUAGGCACUAACCAUGCAGAAUAGCUAGACCAUACCUCUAGUGAAAAGGCCAGGUCACAACUCCUCGAAAUGGGAUCCAUUGUUGUAAAAAGGAGAGCUUCUUUUUACUCAUUUCUUUCUGUGAACUAAAGAGUAGAUAAAAGGAAACAAAUUAAACAAACCCAAACAAGAUUUAUAAUGAUCAAUUACUCAUAAGCAUAUAAUCAACUCAAUGCAGACUUGGGUCAGGCAGUCACUAGGUUUCUGUAGAACCUGGUGACAAAGGAGUGCUUGAAGAACUCAUUCCUGACCUGACUGAACUCUUGAGUCAGAAUGUCUUGAGUCUAUGACAUGAUCCGACAUUUAUUUAUUUAUUAUCUGUGGACUCACAAAUCAGCCAUUUAGGUUUUCUCAUAACAUAAUGUGUGGAAUUUCAGAAACCUUCUCAUAACUACAUUUUUAUAUGGGUGAUUUUGUUGGGAAGUAUCCUUGCACCUACUUGGGUUUAAGCUAUAU